rnacentral:rRNA from 1 species
GACGAACGCUGGCGGCGUGCUUAACACAUGCAAGUCGAACGGAAAGGCCCCUUUGGGGGUACUCGAGCGGCGAAGGGGGGAGUAACAGGAGAGUAACCUGCCCUUGCCUUCGGGACAACGUCAGGAAACUGGGGCCAAUACCGGUAAGGAAUCCUUGCUGCAUGGGGGGGGUUGGAAAGCUUCGGCGGUUUUGGCUGGACUCGCGGCUUAUCAGCUUGUUGGUGGGGUAGUGGCUUACCAAGGCGUUUACGGGUAGCCGGCCUGAGAGGGCGACCGGCGACAUUGGGACUGAGGGGCGGCCCAGACUCCUACGGGUGGCAGCAGUGGGGAAUCUUGCACAAUGGGCGGAAGCCUGAUGCAGCAGCGCCGCGUGCGGGAUGACGGCCUUCGGGUUGUAAACCGCUUUCAGCAGGGGCGAAGCUUGUGGUGACGGUACCUGCAGAAGAAGCACCGGCUAACUACGUG